rnacentral:rRNA from 1 species
CGGCGGACGGGUGAGUAACACGUGGGUAACCUGCCUGUAGGACUGGGAUAACUCCGGGAAACCGGGGCUAAUACCGGAUGCUUGAUUGAACCGCAUGGUUCAAUUAUAAAAGGUGGCUUUUAGCUACCACUUACAGAUGGACCCGCGGCGCAGUAGCUAGUUGGUGAGGUAACGGCUCACCAAGGCGACGAUGCGUAGCCGACCUGAGAGGGUGAUCGGCCACACUGGGACUGAGACACGGCCCAGACUCCUACGGGAGGCAGCAGUAGGGAAUCUUCCGCAAUGGACAAAAGUCUGACGGAGCAGCGCCGCGUGAGUGAUGAAGGUUUUCGGAUCGUAAAACUCUGUUGUUAGGGAAGAACAAGUACCGUUCGAAUAGGGCGGUACCUUGACGGUACCUAACCAGAAAGCCACGGCUAACUACGUGCCAGCAGCCGCGGUAAUACGUAGGUGGCAAGCGUUGUCCGGAAUUAUUGGGCGUAAAGCGCGCGCAGGCGGUUUCUUAAGUCUGAUGUGAAAGCCCCCGGCUCAACCGGGGAGGGUCAUUGGAAACUGGGGAACUUGAGUGCAGAAGAGGAGAGUGGAAUUCCACGUGUAGCGGUGAAAUGCGUAGAGAUGUGGAGGAACACCAGUGGCGAAGGCGACUCCCUGGUCUAUAACUGACGCUGAGGCGCGAAAGCGUGGGGAGCGAACAGGAUUAGAUACCCUGGUAGUCCACGCCGUAAACGAUGAGUGCUAAGUGUUAGAGGGUUUCCGCCCUUUAGUGCUGCAGCAAACGCAUUAAGCACUCCGCCUGGGGAGUACGGUCGCAAGAUUGAAACUCAAAGGAAUUGACGGGGGCCCGCCCAAGCGGUGGAGCAUGUGGUUUAAUUGGAAGCAACGGGAAGACCCUUACCAGGUCUUGACAUCAUCUGACAACCCUAGAGAUAGGGCUUCCCCUUCGGGGGCAGAGUGACAGGUGGUGCAUGGUUGUCGUCAGCUCGUGUCGUGAGAUGUUGGGUUAAGUCCCGCAACGAGCGCAACCCUUGAUUUUAGUUCCCAGCAUUCAGUUGGGCACUCUAAGGUGACUGCCGGUGACAAACCGGAGGAAGGUGGGGAUGACGUCAAAUCAUCAUGCCCCUUAUGAC